GAUGAACGCUAGCUACAGGCUUAACGCAUGCAAGUCGCGGGGCAGCAUGGGGGUUGCUUGCAAUCCCCGAUGGCGACUGGCGCACGGGUGAGUAACGCGUAUCCAACCUGCCCUUCACCACGGGAUAACCCGGCGAAAGUCGGACUAAUACCGUAUGUUGUCCAUUGACGGCAUCCGAUUUGGACGAAAGGUUUGGCGGUGAAGGAUGGGGAUGCGUCCGAUUAGCUGGACGGCGGGGUGACGGCCCACCGUGGCGACGAUCGGUAGGGGUUCUGAGAGGGAGGUCCCCCACACUGGAACUGAGACACGGUCCAGACUCCUACGGGAGGCAGGCGUGAGGAAUAUUGAUCAAUGGGCGUAAGCCUGAACCAGCCAAGUAGCGUGCAGGAUGACGGCCCUAUGGGUUGUAAACUGCUUUUAUGCGGGGAUAAAGUGGCCCACGUGUGGGUUUUUGCAGGUACCGCAUGAAUAAGGACCGGCUAAUUCCGUG
rnacentral:rRNA from 1 species